UGAACAGUCACCUGGGGACCUUGUUAAAAUGCAGACUCUGAUUCAGAAGGUGUAGGGUGAAGCCUGAGAUUAUACAGUUCUAAUAAGCUCCCAGGUGAUGCCAAU
rnacentral:pre_miRNA from 1 species